rnacentral:rRNA from 1 species
UACGAAGGGGGCUAGCGUUGUUCGGAAUUACUGGGCGUAAAGCGCGCGUAGGCGGUGAUCUUUGUCAGAGGUGAAAUCCCGAGGCUCAACUUCGGAAUUGCCUUUGAAACGGGAUCGCUUGAGUCCGAGAGAGGAUGGCGGAAUUCCUAGUGUAGAGGUGAAAUUCGUAGAUAUUAGGAAGAACACCGGUGGCGAAGGCGGCCAUCUGGCUCGGUACUGACGCUCAGGCGCGAAAGCGUGGGGAGCAAACAGGGAUUAAGAAACCCUG